UAUGGGGCCGUCUCUGUGUACACUACAGCACAUAUCAAACAGAUGACGGAAGACAUGGAGAAGAGCAAGGUUGGGAAACACAUGAUGUGAAGGCAGAAGCAGCACCAACAAAAAGAAACCCUACACGCACUCCUACAAGCGCGUUUCUUGUAGGAUGCCAAGGGAACACAAAAGGAUGUGACCGCCGUACUCUCCUCCCCCUUUUUUGUGUUUUAUGGAGCAGCGCAGCGAAUGCGCGGCGAGGUCUUGCUGAGCCGGUGGUUUGAACCAGCUCACACUCUCUCCCCUUUCCUCUCCUCUCGUUCAGAUUGGAUGCAUGAACCGGUCUCUUUUGUUUCUUCUGCUUUUCCCUCCCUCCCUCCGUUUCUCCCUUCAUCUUCUUUCCCGUCCUCUCCCUGCCUGUUCUGGCGCGGCCCCUUUUCUCCCGUGCUUUGUCUUCCUCCCCUCCUCUCCGAAAGAGACAGUAACGAAAGAGAAAAAAAAGGUGUCAAGGCCUUUGCACUUUCACUUCGUGGAACACGUGUCUCCUCUCUCUCUCUCUUGCUCUUUUUCCCCCCUUUUGGCCUCUCUUCUCUUUGGGUCUCCUCCUCUUCUCCUUUGCCCCCCCUCCCCCUUCCACUUCAUCACAUAGAGACAAGCAUAUAUAUAAGGUUUUCUUCCCUUCGCUCUUUUCGCUCUAUGGUAUGUCUGUGUGCGUGUGCGUGUCUCUCUCGCUGUGCCUCUUACCCUAUUCUCCGUUUGAAUUUGGUUCUAUUUGCGUAGCUGUUUCGUUAUUUUUCUUUCGUGGUUGUCGUUGUGCGUCGAUGGACGUGUCUGUCUAUGCCUGUGUGUUUUCGCUUUUGUUUUGUUCUUAUUUCGCUCCGCAUAGCUCAGAGAGCACAACAUCCAACAUGCAAGAGACACACACACACACACGCAUAAUGUGAGCAAAUCCCUUCUUCCUCAUCGCCUCACCCCCCUCCCACCCUGCGCAUCGUUCUGUUUCCCGACCCUCCACUGUGAGUUGCUGGCCGCAAGCGUGCGCGCAUUUGAAGGGAAGAGAGGAUGUGGACCCACACCCUGUACCUGCGGGAACCUUGUUUUCCCCUCGCAGGUUGCCUUCGCCCAACGGAGAUGACCUUGACCCCAGCGAAGAGGUCAAUAGGGCCUGCGCUCCAUACGGUCCUGUCACACGUGCUCCACUUUCGUGCGGUGCUUGCAUCUGUGAGCCCACGCACGCCCAACGGGACGUCUCCACCCUUCUACAUCCAUCUUCACCCCCUGCGUCUUCUCGCUGCUGUUGUACUCACUCGACUUCUUGUUUGCGCUUCUGUCCCUUUUCUCUCUUUAG
rnacentral:misc_RNA from 1 species